UCGGCCUCCGGUUCACGGACGCGUCCCUCGCGCCCGACCCGGGGCA
rfam:Georgenia sp. STBG003 Ion020_assembly_c570, whole genome shotgun sequence.